rnacentral:rRNA from 1 species
UAUGUGAUCGUCUCUCGCAUAUCAAUAAGCGGAGGAAAAGAAACUAACAAGGAUUCCCCUAGUAACGGCGAGUGAAGCGGGAAGAGCUCAAAUUUGAAAUCUUCAAGGUUUUCCCUUGACGAAUUGUAGUUUAAAGAAGUGUUUUCUGUUGAGGUUUUGGUAAAAGUUCUUUGGAAUAGGACAUCAUAGAGGGUGAGAAUCCUGUAUUUGACCUUUACUUUCAACUUUGUGAUACACUUUCAAAGAGUCGGAUUGUUUGGGAAUGCAGUCCCAAAAUGGGUGGUAAAUUUCAUCUAAAGCUAAAUAUUGGCGAGAGACCGAUAGCGAACAAGUACCGUGAGGGAAAGAUGAAAAGAACUUUGUAAAGAGAGUUAAACAGUACGUGAAAUUGUCAAAAGGGAAGCGUUUGACACCAGUGUUGUUUUUCUGAAAAUCAAUUAAAGAACUGUUUAUGCUAAGUUGUUUAGACUUUAUCAGCUAUCUGUUUAGUUUUGAGCUUUUCUUUAAUGCACUUUUCAGUUAACAAGUCAACAUCAAUUUCUUUUGCUGUAAAAAAGCUUGAGGAAGGUGGCUUGAGAUUCGUCUUAAGUGUUUAUAGCCUCUUGCCUAUGCAGUCGGAGAGAUUGAGGUCUGCAGCGUAGAUCCUUCGGGGCUAAAUGCAUUUGUGCUAAGUUAUAGCAUUUUAUAGACAACUUGUUGACUAUGAUUUGUCUUGUAGCUUACUCGCUUAUGUUAUUUUACCUACGCUUAGGAUGUGAAGUCAUCGUAUCGCGC